rnacentral:lncRNA from 1 species
AUGGCAUCUGUUGAGCAGCAUUGUGACACACUAGUUGCGCAGGAAGAAGAAAAGGUGAAACACAAGCAAGUCCACAUGAGCAGCAGUACUCACACUGGAGUCAGUGUUGAUCUGAAUGCUGAGAUGGGAGCAACUGUAAAUGCUACUGUACUCAGUGGAAACACCAUCACAGGCCCAGUGACCAUCAACUACAACACUGCAGGAAAUGAGACACAAAAAAUCUCAGAGACCGAGAUGGCAGAGAAACACACAGAACAACAAGAUAUGAUUCUGAAAAAUUUUUUGGAAACUCACAAAUCCACCAUGAAGAGUAAAGCACAAUGUAUUUUUGAGGGCAAAGAAGAAAAUGAAGUAGAUCUCAAGGCUGUUUACACAGAAAUCUUCAUCACAGAGGGAGAUAUGAAAGAUGUCAAACCAGGAACGUGAGAUUUUGAAGAUUGAUUACGCUUUCAACAACAAAGUACCACAGGAACAAACCAAUCAAAUGCAAUGAUAUAUUUACUGAACUGAAGAAAAAAAAAUGAGAAAAAGAUUGUGCUGACCAAGGCAUCGCUGGCAUUAGGAAAACAAUCUCUGUGCACAAGUUCAUCCUGGACUGGGCAGAAGGAAACGCAAUCUCU